GGUGUAUCAGUUAGCUUCCACUGUGUAACAAAGCAAGAAAAAAAUCUUGAUGGCUUAAAACAGCCAUGUUUUUAACUUAUGAGUCUGCGGGUUAUAUAGAAGGUUCUAGAAGAUGGGACUAGUCUGAUCUCAGCGAACUGAUAAGCUGGCUGAUAACUGGCUGGUCUGAGAUGGCCUUUUCUUGGGCAACUCUCCUCCACAUGGUCUUUCUCCCCCAACGGUCAUGCCUGGGCUUGCUGCGUGGUAACUGCAGGACUCUGGGUCAGAGCAGAAGCAUCCAAAUCUUCCUAAGGCCCAAGCUCAGAACGAGCAGAGAUCCAUCCACCACAUUCUUCUGGCUGAAGAAAGCCACAAGGCCAGCCUGACGCAGGGGACUGAAAAACAGAUUCCACCUCCUCAUGGGAGACAUUGGAGGAAUGUGGCCACGUCUGCUGUCCCCCAAGGUGGGAAGCCAUGGGAGGUCUGAGAGCAGAGGAGUCCUGUGUUCCAAGUGAGGUUUCAUGGACGUCUCUGGACACAGUUGAGAUUUUACUGUGGGGAGAAAAGUGGAAGUGGGGAGACCAGCUAGGAUGACAGCACCGAUCACCACAACAACCGAAGCAGGAAAUGAUGGUGGCGCAGACCAGGGGGUGGUGAUGAAGGUGAAGAGAAGACGCCAUGAACAGUCCCAGGACUGUGCCCCUUGUCUCACUGUCACAUGUCGGGUCUCUAGGGGAGGCCUGAAAAGAGUUAUCAGUAAGAGUGCUCAGAUUUAAGGGGCUUGGGACCUGCACUGUCUUCUAUCUUCUCUCAACCUGGGUAUUUUGGAGCUCUUUAAGGACAAUAAUGAUCAUAUCUGUGUUUUAUUCAGUUUCAAUUGACAUUUGUUUAUCACCUCUUAGGUACCAGACAGAGCGCCCCCACUUUCAAAGAAAGAAGGGAAAAUAGUCAAAUAACCCAACAUCUGUGUCAUAAUGUACCGAUGACGUUCUCCAUUCUUUGAACGCUCUGUCAUUCAACAGUUAAUAUUGGUUGAGUGAAUGGCUACUUGAUUCUGUGGGGUCCUGUCAAUAUAGUGAUUCAAUGUUCAACAGAGACUAAUGCGGAGAGAAAUGCAAAAUGAUCACCCACUUAGAAAGACGGGUCUCACUCAAUAAUAUUACUAAUAAAUUAUUUUUAUAUAUUUAAGAUUAAAAAAUAAUAAACACUGUUGUGUACCCUAUUCAGCUUAAGAAAUAAAUUCUGAGCAGAGAUUAAGAUUCCUGUACACUGCUUCCUAAAC
rnacentral:lncRNA from 1 species